rnacentral:misc_RNA from 1 species
AGUUCGAUCUGGCUCAGAUUGAACGCUGGCGGGAUGCUACACAUGCAAGUCGAACGGCGGCACGGACUUCGGUCUGGUGGCGAGUGGCGAACGGGUGAGUAAUGUAUCGGAACGUGCCUAGUAGCGGGGAUAACUACGCGAAAGCGUAGCUAAUACCACAUACGCCCUUCGGAGAAAGCGGGGGACCUUCGGGCCUCGCACUAGAGCGGCCGAUAUCGGAUUAGCUAGUUGGUGGGGGUAACGG